GAUGAACGCUGGCGGCGUGCCUAAUACAUGCAAGUCGAGCGAACAGACGAGGAGCUUGCUCCUCUGACGUUAGCGGCGGACGGGUGAGUAACACGUGGAUAACCUACCUAUAAGACUGGGAUAACUUCGGGAAACCGGAGCUAAUACCGGAUAAUAUAUUGAACCGCAGGGUUCAAUAGUGAAAGACGGUUUUGCUGUCACUUAUAGAUGGAUCCGCGCCGCAUUAGCUAGUUGGUAAGGUAACGGCUUACCAAGGCAACGAUGCGUAGCCGACCUGAGAGGGUGAUCGGCCACACUGGGACUGAGACACGGUCCAGACUCCUACGGGAGGCAGCAGUAGGGAAUCUUCCGCGAUGGGCGAAAGCUUGACGGAGCAACGCCGCGUGAGUGAUGCAGGUCUUCGGAUCGUAUAACUCUGUUAUUAGGGAAGACCAAAUGUGUAAGUAACUAUGCACGUCUUGACGGUACCUAAUCAGAAAGCCACGGCUAACUACGUG
rnacentral:rRNA from 1 species